UGUAUAAAAAAAUUUAUUAAUUAUAAAAAUAUUAAGUUUUAGUAAUCAUUCUUAUAUUAAUAAUUUUCUUUAUUAAUUUUUAGAAUUGAGGGAAUUUAGAAAUAUUAAACUGGUUUUUUUCUCAAAAAUAUGGCUUACUUAUUAAAUAUGAUUGAUAAUACCUAUAAUAGUUUCUUCUUCGGUAGAUGGGUUGAUUUGCACAUUUGACAUUGCUGGAGAUAUCGAUGAUGAAGAUCAUCUGGAAUCAGUAAGUAUGGGAUUCCAAUGCAGAUGUGCCAUUGUUUUUUAGUUUCACUAGUUAUAAUUAGCUUUCAAAUUGAUAAAUAUAAGAUGUAUAUAUCAUUACGCAAUGCAUACAUAUUUAGAGCUUUAGAUUUUGAAAAAUCAUUAUCUUUGGUUGAGUUAUUCUAUACUUGAGUUUGGACUCCAGUACAUUAUUCAUACAAAUUGUUACCUAAAAUGCAGGUUAUUAAUGUGGGAACUUCAAUCUCAAAGGCGGGUUUUUUUGGUGAAAGUUGCCUGAAGCUUUGGUGUUUAACGCAUAUUGAAACCUUGAGUAUCUGGGAUCGGAAUGAUGCUAGAAAUGAAGUAAACUUCACAGACGCUCUUCAAAGGUUGGAGCUUGGAUAAUGUUGACUAUUUUGUUGACUGUCACUACUCUAGAGAAGCUCAACGACUAUGGGCGAUUGGUGGCACUAAUACUGGUGUUUUGGGCAACUUUCCUGUGAAUUAUAUAAUGGGGUGGCCAUACAAGUGUUGUAAAGAGUGAAUAGCCCAUGUCAAGAAUUCAUGGCGGACCUGGUUGUGACCAAGACUUUUUUGGAUGGACCAGCGGGGAAGACGACCGCCUUUGUUGCUGGCUGUCUGAUGAUUCACCUGAUCAGGUGAAUCGAUUGUGGAUUUCGAGCACGUUGAUAAUGAAGUCUGAAAGAACUCGGGAGACAAAUCGUCGUCGGCCUUACUAGCAAGGUUUCUAUUGUUGUGUUUUGAACAAAAGAGCAUUGGUUGUCAGGCAUGUAACUUUAGUGAUUUCAAAACAUUGGGGCUAGGCAUUUGGGUAUCUUGUGCGUGCCCAUUUUUAAAGGCUGAUUGAUUGGCAACUUGUAUCACAUGGGUAGGGAGUAUUAUUAUUUUAAUAAAUUUAUUGAUUUUUUUUUUUUUUGUUGUUAUGGAGUUUUAAAAUGUAGUGGCAUAUUGAUUUCUCCUGAC